rnacentral:rRNA from 1 species
AAAGACUGACGCUCAGGCACGAAAGCGUGGGGAUCAAACAGGAUUAGAUACCCUGGUAGUCCACGCUGUAAACGAUGAUCACUCGUUGUUGGCGAUAUACUGUCAGCGACUGAGGGAAACCAUUAAGUGAUCCACCUGGGGAGUACGGCGGCAACGUUGAAACUCAAAGGAAUUGACGGGGGCCCGCACAAGCGGAGGAGCAUGUGGUUUAAUUCGAUGAUACGCGAGGAACCUUACCUGGGCUUAAAUGCAGGACGACGUUUCGUGAAAGCGGAAUUUCCUUCGGGACGUCUUGCAAGGUGCUGCAUGGUUGUCGUCAGCUCGUGCCGUGAGGUGUCGGGUUAAGUCCCAUAACGAGCGCAACCCUUAUCAUUAGUUGCCAUCAGGUAAUGCUGGGAACUCUAAUGAAACUGCCUACGCAAGUAGUGAGGAAGGUGGGGAUGACGUCAAAUCAGCACGGCCCUUAUGUCCAGGGCGACACACGUGCUACAAUGGCCAGUACAGAGGGUUGCAAA